GCUAAACGCGAAGAACCUUACCCACCUUUGACAUCCCGUGCUACCUAGAGAGAUCUAGGGUCCCUUCGGGGCGCGGAGACAGGUGCUGCAUGGCUGUCGUCAGCUCGUGUCGUGAGAUGUUGGGUUAAGUCCCGCAACGAGCGCAACCCUCGCUUCUAGUUGCCAGCAUUUAGUUGGGCACUCUAGAGGAACUGCCUGCGCCAAGCAGGAGGAAGGCGGGGAUGACGUCAAGUCCUCAUGGCCCUUACAGGUGGGGCUACACACGUGCUACAAUGGCGGUGACAAAGGGAUAAUCCCUAAAAGCCGUCUCAGUUCGGAUUGUCCUCUGCAACUCGAGGGCAUGAAGUUGGAAUCGCUAGUAAUCGCGGAUCAGCACGCCGCGGUGAAUACGUUCCCGGGUCUUGUACACACCG
rnacentral:rRNA from 1 species